rnacentral:rRNA from 1 species
UACAGAGGGUGCGAGCGUUGUCCGGAAUCACUGGGCGUAAAGGGCGCGUAGGCGGCUUGAUAAGCGUGCGGGUGAAAAGCCCCGGGGGCUCAACCCCCGGGGUCGGCCCGUGCGAACUGUCGAGCUGGAGCACUGUAGAGGCAGGUGGAAUUCCGGGUGUAGCGGUGGAAUGCGUAGAGAUCCGGAAGAACACCGGUGGCGAAGGCGGCCUGCUGGCAGUGGCUGACGCUGAGGCGCGACAGCGUGGGAGGCAA